UCACGCAGGCCAUUUAUUAUCCUUGGCUUUGUUUUCUUUCUCUGUAACUGAACUUCAAUUUGGUAUCAAGAGCACCAUGGUUUCUCAAACUACUUCCGGUCAAACAUCUUCUUCAACUUCAGCCAUGCGCUCUUAAUCCUCUUUGGGUCUUCCAAAUUCUUCUCCAACUAUUCAAACAUCAAAGGUUUUAUACCAAUUGAAUUGACAUAUCUUAAUUAUAUUACAUGGAAGAAGUUUUUUCUUACUAUUCUAAAAAACCUCAAUCUUCUUCCCUUGAUUAAUGGCUCUAUUUCAUGUCCCUCAUCAAUCCAUUAAGAGUAUCCUUUGUGGAUUCAAUGUGACACUAUAACUUUAAGUUAGAUUAAUGUCACCCUCUCUUCGCCGGUUCUCAACUCACUUCUCAACUACGUUUGUGACACUUUCAAGCAAGCAUGGGAUAUCCUUGUGUCCCUUUACCUAGAUCAGGUUUCUUCUUCAUCAAUUCAUUUGAAAUCAAAAUUUUAGAAAACUUCAUUCUCGUGCUUGUUUAUUUAGAGCAAUUAGAAAACCUAUCAUUGAUGAUGAUUUAGUGACCCAAGCAUUGCAAGGACUCACACCUCCAUAUCAUACUUUUGUCUCCGAUUUCAAUGCGAGUGGAACACUUCUAUAUUUUCUCACAUUGCGUCCAUUAUUACUUACUGAAGAAGCUCAUAUUAAUGCAACAGAUAAUGAUGAUUUCACUUCUCACACUGCUUUACUUGCUUCAGCCCAAGCACCACCAGUUUCUCAUCUUCUUUUUUCAAAUUUAUCUCAUCUUAAUCAAUAUCAACGAGGAUCUACUAAUAGACGUGGUCGUGGUAAACCAAACCGAGGCAGAGGUCAAAAUUUGUACUCUUCUCGCCCCAGUUUCUCUAACGAAUGGGCUAGUUUUUCACUAAAUUUUUAUCCUUCCUCUUUGGUGAUGGUAUUCUUAGGCGAUCCCCUUUUACAUUGGCUAAACAAUGCCAAAUCUGCUUUCACUUACACUGGUUUAGAGUGCAGAAACUGUUUCAAUCAUUCAUCCGUUCUUAAUUUGCUCCAAAAAUAUUUGUUGCUAUGAACUUGGAGGAAGUAUAAUCACUGGUAUGGGAUCAUGAUUCUGGUGCAUAUGCACAUAUGACAAAUAAUCCAUCACUUUUAUCCUCUUCUUCUCCUUACACUGGCUUGUCAAAGGUGAUGGUUGGAAAUGGAACUCAUGACCAUGGGCUGCAACACUACAGAAACUCUACCAUCUCCAUAACUAUAUUCUCAGACUCGGACUGGGCAGAUUGCACAGCAACUCGUCGUUCUACCUCUGGAUUUUGCAUUUUCCGUGGGAAUAACUUUAUAUCUUGGUCUACAAAAAAACCACCAAUUGUUGCACGCUCAAGCACCAAAGUUGAGUAUCAUGCUCUGGCUGUUGUAGCUGCUGAUACUAUAUGGUAACAAUUUCUCUUGUGGGACUUGAGUGUUUAUCUUCGCAUUUCUAUACUUGCAAAAUGUGAUAAUAUUGGGGUCAUCCAUAUUGCACAUAUUCCAAUCUUUCACUCUUAGUCAAAACAUGUCGCUUUAGACUAUCAUUUUAUCCAUGAGAAGAUUAGUCAGGGUGACCUUACUGUUUCUCACAUUCCUACUAUAUAACAGCUUGCAGAUGUUUUUACUAAAGUUAUCUCUAUUACAAAAUUAAGGAGUUUCUUAUCAAUCUUCAUGUUUGUUUCUCCACUUCAGAUUAAGGGAGGGUGAGAGGGAUAUUAUUGUAAAUAUAAUUUCAAGAGUUAUGUCAUCUUGUAGUUGUAACUACUUUAUAAAUAGAACAUGUUUUGGCCCUUGCUAUUCGCGCAGGCCAUUUAUUA